UACGUAGGCAGCAAGCGUUGUUCGGAAUUACUGGGCGUAAAGAGUGUGUAGGCGGUGCUCUAAGUUCGGUGUGAAAUCUCCCGGCUCAACUGGGAGGGUGCGCCGAAAACUGGAGUGCUCGAGCGUGGGAGAGGAAAGCGGAAUUCCUGGUGUAGCGGUGAAAUGCGUAGAUAUCAGGAGGAACACCUGCGGUGUAGACGGCUUUCUGGACCAUUGCUGACGCUGAGACACGAAAGCGUGGGUAGCAAACAGG
rnacentral:rRNA from 1 species